UCUCUCUCUCUCUCUCUCUCUCUCUCAAUUCUCUAUAUAUAUGACUUUUCUGAUUCCCUUGAGCCAUUCAUAGCCUGUUGUUAAACUCUUUCAAGGUUUGGCCGGCCCCAUUUAGUUAGGAAUUUUUCUGAUCAUCGUUAUUGUCUUGGUGAUCAUAAGCAAGGCAAGAAAGCAGUUUUGCGUAAAUUUUCUGGAGUCCAUGCCUCCGUGUGCAAGAAGCAUGGAGACGGAGACGGAGACGGAGACGGAGACGGAGACGACGGAUACGAUUAUGCCCCAGCAGCAUACAUAGAUGGAGAUUUCGAUUUUGGUAAUCACGUAGGCUAUGAUUACGAUCAUGCUCUGGCACCCGUAGAUGGUGAUGACGAUGAUGAUGAUGACCAUGGCUAUGAUUAUGCGCCGGCUGCAUGAAUGGAUAUAUAUAUAUAUAUAUAUAUAAUGUGCAUUUUGAUGGUGAUUACUCCAACAUAUAAAAGCUUUCUAAUCAUGGCGGUUUGUAAUUUGUGUAUCGGAUCCCAAAAGUUUUUUGCAGGGUUAUGGAGAGUCUUUUUAGCUCUAGCUAGCUAAUCCUUAAGCUUCUAAUCAGGACGUCUUUUUAUAAGAUUUCUGCGUAAGUAAAGCUUAAUUAGCUAGUAGUUAAGUGGAUAUCGAUAUCAAUGAAUAUUGUACUAUGAGUCUUUAAUUUAAAUCUAUCUACUUAUCAUCAUGCAAUUAAUUAAUGGUUUUGUGA